UCAAUAUAAAUUGAUUAAUAUUUAUUUAUUAAUUUUUAUUAUUUUAUUUAUUUAUUAUUAAAAAUAAUUAUAUAGUUUAAUUGUUUUAGUAGAUUUUAUUGAAUAAAUUUUAUUAAUUAUAGUUAAUUAGUACUGUGAAGGAUUAUUGAAAUAAAUUGAAAAAUUUUUAUUAUUAAAGAAAAUUUAUUUUAUUGUACCUUGUGUAUCAGGGUAAAUUAAAUAAUUAAUAAUUAUAUAUUAAUCUCGAUUUUAUAAGAGUUAAUUAUAUUUUUAAGUUAAUAUGUCAAAAUUAUUUAUAAAAUAUAAUUAGAAAUGAAAUGUUAUUCGUUUAUAAUGGUAUCUAGUUUUUUUAGAAAUGAAUUUAAUUCAUUAAUUUUUAAUUUUUUAUUUAAUUAUUUAAUAUAAAAAUUUAUUAAUUAAAAUAUUUUAAGGGAUAAGCUUUAAAGUAAAGUUUUAUAAAUUUUAUUUAUUAUUAAUAAUGUAUGUAUAGAAUUUGCAAUCAUUUGUAAGUUUGUUAUAAAUUAUUUUAUGAAUUUAAUAUUUAAUUAAUUUUAAUUUUAUAUAAAAAUUUUCAUUAAAAUUUUAAAAAUGAAUUAAUAAUGAUUUAAUUAGUAUAUUAUAAUGUAUAAUUAAAUAUUAAUAGGUAGGUUUAUAUAAAGAACUCGGCAAAUAAAAAUAUUCGCCUGUUUAACAAAAACAUGUCUUUUUGUAGUAAAUUUAAAGUCUGACCUGCCCAAUGAAGUUUUAAUGGCCGCAGUAUUCUAACUGUGCAAAGGUAGCAUAAUCAUUAGUCUUUUAAUUGAAGGCUGGAAUGAAUGGUUGGACGAAAUAUAAUCUGUUUCAUAUAAAUUUAGAUAAAAUUUUAUUUUUUAGUUAAAAAGCUAAAAUAUUAUUGAAAGACGAGAAGACCCUAUAAAUCUUUAUAAAAUAAUUAAUUUUAAUUUUUUAGAUAAUUUUUAUUAUAAUUUAUUAUUUUAUUUUAUUGGGGUGAUAUUAAAAUUUAAAAAACUUUUAAUUUUUUAAAUCAUUACUAUAUGAUUAAUUGAUCCUUUAUUAAGGAUUAUAAGAUUAAGUUACUUUAGGGAUAACAGCGUAAUUUUUCUGGAGAGUUCAUAUCGAUAGAAGAGAUUGCGACCUCGAUGUUGGAUUAAGAUAAAUAUUUAGGUGUAGCUGCUUAGAUUUAAAGUCUGUUCGACUUU
rnacentral:rRNA from 1 species